rnacentral:rRNA from 1 species
GAUGACCGCUAGCGGCAGGCUUAAUACAUGCAAGUCGAGGGGCAGCAUGAUUGUAGCAAUACAAUUGAUGGCGACCGGCAAACGGGUGCGGAACACGUACACAACCUCCCAAUAAGUGGGGAAUAGCCCAGAGAAAUUUGGAUUAAUACCCCGUAACAUAACGAUGUGGCAUCACAUUGUUAUUAUAGAUUUUUCGCUUAUUGAUGGGUGUGCGGCUGAUUAGAUAGUUGGCGGGGUAACGGCCCACCAAGUCUACGAUCAGUAGCCGAUGUGAUAGCAUGAACAGCCACACGGGCACAGAGACACGGGCCCGACUCCUACGGGAGGGAGCAGUAAGGAAGAAUGGACAAUGGACGCAAGUCUGAUCCAGCCAUGCCGCGUGAAGGAUUAAGGUCCUCUGGAUUGUAAACUUCUUUUAUAAGGGACGAAAAAAGGCUUUUCUAAGUCGUCUGACGGUACCUUAUGAAUAAGCACCGGCUAACUCCGUGCCAGCCGCCGCCGUAACAC